GUAACAGUUCGCUGUUACAUCAAAUAAAGUUGGUACGAUACAGAGAAGAUUAGCAUGGCCCCUGGCGCAAGGAUGACACGCAUAAUCGCGAAGCGUUACCAAUCUUU